rnacentral:rRNA from 1 species
ACGAACGCUGGCGGCGUGCUUAACACAUGCAAGUCGAACGGUGAAGCUCCAGCUUGCUGGAGUGGAUCAGUGGCGAACGGGUGAGUAACACGUGAGCAACCUGCCCCUGACUCUGGAAUAAGCGCUGGAAACGGCGUCUAAUACUGGAUACGAGAAGGGCCCGCAUGGGCACUUUCUGGAAAGUUUUUCGGUUGGGGAUGGGCUCGCGGCCUAUCAGCUUGUUGGUGAGGUAAUGGCUCACCAAGGCGACGACGGGUAGCCGGCCUGAGAGGGCGACCGGCCACACUGGGACUGAGACACGGCCCAGACUCCUACGGGAGGCAGCAGUGGGGAAUAUUGCACAAUGGGCGAAAGCCUGAUGCAGCGACGCCGCGUGAGGGAUGACGGCCUUCGGGUUGUAAACCUCUUUCAGCAGGGAAGAAGCGAAAGUGACGGUACCUGCAGAAGAAGCACCGGCUAACUACGUG